rnacentral:rRNA from 1 species
UACGAAGGGUGCAAGCGUUACUCGGAAUUACUGGGCGUAAAGCGUGCGUAGGUGGUUUGUUAAGUCUGUUGUGAAAGCCCCGGGCUCAACCUGGGAAUGGCAAUGGAUACUGGCAAGCUAGAGUGCGGUAGAGGGUAGUGGAAUUCCUGGUGUAGCGGUGAAAUGCGCAGAUAUCAGGAGGAACACCGGUGGCGAAGGCGGGUCUCUGGGCAAUAACUGACGCUGGAGGAGCGAAAGCGUGGGGAGCGAACAGG